GGUUUUUUUGUUAUAUCUGGGGAGUAUUGCAUUUGAUUGAAACCAUGAGUAUUGCUGCACAGGUUUGCUUAAGCCAAAGCAACUGCCUGUCCCUAGCCAUUACUCACAGCAGUGAGAAAACUUCACAGGGCUUAGCUUAGGCAUCUCCCAGUCCCUGGAGCUUAGAUACAGUCCAGGACACACCAUGUGGAUAAACAAGAGGGUUGACACAGCUGUGCAGGAGCUGUGAGGAGGUUUUGGAGCAGCCAAGCAGGAACAGCUUUGGGUAAUUGCCAUUGCACCAGAUCCUGCUCUGAAAAUGCUGUCCCUCCCACACAUCACACUGUCUUCCUUUCUGGACAUUGGAGACUACUCUGGUCUGGGACAGAGGAAAGAAAAUUCUCAUCAUCAGUGAGGGGCCCAGCAUUGGUUUCCUGCACCCCUUUCACCUGCAGAGCAGGGGGAAUAUCCUGGGCUGCUCCAGCUGGAGCACAUCCAUGUGUUCCCCUUCUCCACACACGCCUGGCUCUGCACUUCCUGCCCCGAGCAUGCACUGGAGACUCUGCCAGGACACCUGGUCCUUCCUGCCCCCUGGGAGUGUCAUCCACACUGGACUGCACUGCCCUUGGAAACAGACCCUGCUCAUGGCAGUAAAAGCACUCCUAAAAAAUGAAGUUUUAAAUAAAACCAACUGUGAGUGCUGGAGGAAGAACCACUGGUGUGGAUCACUGAGCUGCAUUCCCAGCCUCCAUGAGGACACACGUCUCAAAACAGUUCUCUAGUUGAAAAUUAAUUCUCAGAACAACUUCAAGUUUUUGUAAGCUACUGCUCAAGUAAAAGGAAUAAUCACUUUCUGUAGCACCAGCUAAAUAAUUGAAUGCAGAUCUUAGCUGAAUGUUAUCCGUCCAAGGACAGUGGUUGCAUAAUUAUUUCAUAUUAUAUAAAUAUUUAGAUAUUAUUUUUCCCUUAGCAAUUAAAUCAAUAGAUUGGGCUUAAAAACAAAACUGAAUUUAAAAUCCUUGAAUUUUAAAAAAACUUAGUAUUUUUGGGUCUGCAGUGUAAAUUGAAAAAAACCUGUUAUAUUUUGAUUAAAUUGAUCUUUUUUUUUGCUUGCUCUUAUGGGUCAUAAAAGUUGAAGUCUGAAAACUAGGGAGACUGGCAAGGAGACUGAGAAAUGAAUAGGCAAAGUCAUCACUGGAGUUUGUGAGGCUUCCCCAAAAAACCUUUCUCUGAGGAGAUGUCACCAGAGCACAGGGGUGAAUGACUAAUCCAUCCCUGCCAAAAGCAUCGCCUGCUGAUUACAGGUAUGUGUGCUGCCUGCUUGCCUCAUGAGCUACUUUGUGCAUAAAGAAUGGAUACUCAACAGCACAGGUACCAUAAUUUUAUAAUUUUUUCUUUACUUAGACAUUUCUCAUUUCCUAAGAUGUUUCAUGGGCAUUGCAAGUAUUUUACUAUGGAAUGAAAACUUUCUAAAACAUGCUUUUAAAUCAAUCCCCCUUGUCCCAUAGCAAGGUGGGCUUCUCUCCAUUCUCUUUCCUUUCCAGCUCCUCGAUGCAGCUGUGCCACGUUGUUGUGGCUGGGAGCUUUUUAUCCUGUAACUAAACUUUUUGUGCCUAAUCUUACAAAAUGUGUGAGAGUCAUUCCUGGAAGGUGCUCCCUGCAUAUGCCUCAACCCAGGCCGAUGAUCAGGGAUAUUUUCUGUUGUCCAGAGAAAAACAGGACACAGAGGGGGAGAAGCAGUGGUGCCUGAGCAGCAUUGGAUCCUGGCUGGCCUCUUCUGGCUGUGGCUGCUCUGGCUGCUUCAGGAGGAUUCCGGAAAGUGGAAAAAGCUGAGCACAACAAAAGGCUGAGAAAGGGGGCAGCCAAAGUGAUUACAGUGAUUUUUGACUUGUGGAUCUCUGAAUGUUUUCUAUCAUGUGCUUGGCUUUAUCCUUCUGCAUUGCCUUCCCCGCAGCGGCCGCCACUUCCCAGCUGAUCCCUCCUUUCUGUCGCUAAAAUGAGCAGCCUUGGAGUGAUGAAUAUUAAAAUUCACCCACUAACACUGCAGCGAGGUGGGGUCUGAGCAGCUCCUACCUCCCAGCCUGCUGUGCCGCCCUGCCAGCAGAUUCGGGAAGGCGACACCACACUGGUUUAUCCUGGUUUCCUUCCCAGCCCUGACAGCUGGUUAUAACUGGUUGAGCAAUGGCUGGAGUUCAGCACAAUUCAAAUGUCUCACACAGUCUAUAUAAACAUGGCUCCUUGCUUAGAGGUCCUGUUGGAAGCUGUUUCUGUUGGACACUUAGUGAAUUACAGGCUUUAGAAACUACCUGGCAAUGCCUUGAACCAGACACAAAACUUCCACUAAUGCAACCUUUAGAGUCUGAAGUAGGUACUUGGCUGCCAGUUGCUUUCAGGCACACUGUAAAGGGACUCUCUGAAAAAAAAAGAAAAAAAAUCUGACUCUGGACCAGCAUCACAGUUUGUUUCAUCUCGAUUUGGAGUGGUUAAAUAGGAAUUUGCAAAGGAAAUGAAUGAGGGGACCAGCUUCUCUCAUUUAAUAGGCUUGUCUGAGUAGAAGCAAGCAACAAAGGAAUUCUGUGUAAGGUUUGCAAUUUCUGUUGCUCUUGUCUAACCAGAUUUAAAUCGUCAAAAACAAAACAAACAAACAAACCCCCCAAACCAACACGAGCGAGUGUGAGCGAUUUAGACUGCGUGCCUUACAAGUGAUACAGAAUAUGCAUUUAUGAUUCAAAAUUUUAAACAGCUGAGAAAUAAAUAUGCAAAGUAGAUUGUUCUGUUUGCAGAUGGUAAUCCUGCCGCACUGAUUUUGCUCAGCUGUCUGAUUUUUCAGUGUCUGCAUUCCUGGUUCCUGGGAUUCCUGAUUAAGAAAUAAAAUAUGAGUCAUGGUUCAUGGUUACCUUCUGCACAUCUGAAAGGCUAAUUCAGUGACUGAAAACAGAUUAUUAGAGGCUGAUCUUGCCCUGCUGAAUUCGAUUCAAUGUCAGGGGAUUGAGGAAAAAAAACAACAAAACAUUUCUCUGCCCUGCCCUUCAUUUUUCCAGCUGUAGGAUAAACGUUCCUGCAGAGGGGCUUGCAGGAGAGCGGCCCCUCGGCCGGGGGUACCUGGGUGGGGAGGCAGCGGGCAGGCUCGGCAAGGUGAGGCACAUCCCUUCCCUCCCGCUCCCCGGGAUGACUCAGGCGGUUAUUAAAGAUUUCCAGCUUCCAGCUAAAAAUGGCAUCGGCAGCGGUGCCCCGGAGGGAAGAAGGGGAGACGUGAGAAAUGGGUUCUGCUCCUGUCUACGAGUGCUAACACACACUCACACUCUCACACACUCGCAGAGCUGAUGUGGAGCUCAUCUGGGAAAAGUUUAUUUUGCAAUAAGAGGGUUUAGUACUCUGCUAAAGGCUUUUGCGAAGACUGGAUCCAAUUUUCAGAGCCUGUUGCCAAUAUUUGUGAGUCAUUUCCUUGGAAUCCUACCUUUGGUGUUUAUUUCCCUUAGAAGGAAACUUGUAAAAGAAUAACAAUAGCUCUCAUUCUUCGUGGAAAGUAGCACAGAGCAAAGUGGGAGACAACUAGCUCUUUGUUCCAAAACACUUUAGUGUUUGUUUUGUUUACUUUCUUCAGCACACAAAAAGUGAGGAAUGCAAUAUAAUUAACUCCAUAAACCAUCUCAUUUACGGUGCCGGUGACAUGCAUGUGCUGUGCACGGGAGUGAAAGUUAAGUGGGGAAGCGCUUCUAAUUGGUACCUCUCUUCCCGAGCAAGUGAUGAGAACUGCCUGGUGCUUUGGGAAGUCUCCUUGUGCAACAGGAGCAGGGCUUUGCUUUCCCCCAGCCCCGCCUGACUACCGGCACUCCUUUUUCUCUCCUGCCUCAGUCCCAGUAAAGCACUGGGAGCACCUAUCCGGUGUGGAACCCCUCACAAAGGUUAACUAACCCGAAAUGCUCUCGGUUACAGUUCGCAGCACCCUCGGGAUACUGCAGCGUUUUGAAACCUAAACCCCCUCGGAGCUAAGUGCAUCCUGGACAGAGCUUUCAUGUGGAGCAAGGCCACGCAGCCACCAGCGGGGUGGAGGCAGAGAGCAUAUGAGACAUUUUGGCUAAGAACACUGGAAAAAAUAUUUAUGCUUACUGAAAUGAAUACCAUGGGGCUUUAUUGUUCUCCCAGACCAGGCAGGCAAAGCCGCCUUAGGGAGAUGGCUGCAGUAAAUGGGAUGGCACCUUUUCUCAUGUCUGCCAGAGCCCUGAGGCAAAAUAAAUUGCAAUUUUGCUUGCAUUUUCAUAUAUUUGCAUAAAUUCUGGGGAAAACUUUAACUGUUAGAACCAGCAUUUAAGAGAUCACUGCAUACUGGCUACCAAGAGUUCUGAUAGGUGACAUAUACCUACAGAGAAAUGAAAGAGGAAACAUCUUUUCUGUCAGAACAGAAACUUUCUCUUGUUCUGCCUCAUAGAAACCAAAAGCAGGAGAAACUCCAAGUGUUAGGAAUCCAAAAGGACAUUUUCUUUUAAAUCUUUUUUUUUUUCAAUGAAACCCAGGGGACAUUGACAUACCAGUCCAGGUUAACUGCAUAAAGCCUUUCUGGGAACAAUUCAAUUGAAAAGUAUGUAAAGAAAAAAAAACGGAAUAUGGGAAUUAGAAAAAUUAGAGAAAUAUUUGUUUUAAAUGCUGUCUGGAGAAAGAGACACUUAAGCAUCUGGAGCUGCAUAAUCUAAAUUAGGGUAGAAGUAUGAAAAACUCCAAUGAAAGAGCUGUAUCUUGACACUGAAAUCAAUUUCUGAUUUCAGGUUAAUUCUUUUUCUACCAAACAGUAAGUCCAGCUCUAGAAAAAGGAGAGAGAAAAAAAAAAAAAAAAA